rnacentral:rRNA from 1 species
GCUUGUCUCAAAGAUUAAGCCAUGCAUGUCUAAGUAUAAACCGCUCGAACGGUGAAACUGCGAAUGGCUCAUUAAAUCAGUUAUAGUCCACUUGAUAGUCCCUUGCUACUCGGAUAACCGUAGUAAAUCUAGAGCUAAUACGUGCACCAAGGGCCGACUGGGGGCCGGGGGGCAACCCUCGGCGAAAUCUCGCUCCGGAAGGCUCGUAUUUAUUAGAUACGACAAACCGACCCAGGGCAUUCCAAACCGAGGCGAGGAGGGGGAUUCGUCCCCCGUCCCUCGCCUCGGGUCCUGGCCAAAAACAAAAACAACGGUGAUUCAUGAUAACUUCGCGAAUCGCAUUUUCGGCCUCGCGCCGGCGAUGAUUCAUUCGAAUUUCUGCCCUAUCAACUUUCGAUGGUAAGAUAGAGGCUUACCAUGGUGAUCACGGGUGACGGAGAAUUAGGGUUCGAUUCCGGAGAGGGAGCCUGAGAAACGGCUACCACUUCUAAGGAAGGCAGCAGG